rnacentral:rRNA from 1 species
ACGCUCGACACCUACGGAGGCAGCAGUGGGGAAUAUUGCACAAUGGAGGAAACUCUGAUGCAGCGACGCCGCGUGGAGGAAGAAGGUCUUCGGAUUGUAAACUCCUGUUGUUGAGGACGAUAAUGACGGUACUCAACAAGGAAGUGACGGCUAACUACGUGCCAGCAGCCGNGGUAAUCUGAGCGGGCUGGCAAGGC